rnacentral:rRNA from 1 species
GACGAACGCUGGCGGCGUGCUUAACACAUGCAAGUCGAACGGAAAGGCCCUGCUUUUGUGGGGUGCUCGAGUGGCGAACGGGUGAGUAACACGUGAGUAACCUGCCCUUGACUUUGGGAUAACUUCAGGAAACUGGGGCUAAUACCGGAUAGGAGCUCCUGCUGCAUGGUGGGGGUUGGAAAGUUUCGGCGGUUGGGGAUGGACUCGCGGCUUAUCAGCUUGUUGGUGGGGUAGUGGCUUACCAAGGCUUUGACGGGUAGCCGGCCUGAGAGGGUGACUGGCCACAUUGGGACUGAGAUACGGCCCAGACUCCUACGGGAGGCAGCAGUGGGGAAUAUUGCACAAUGGGCGGAAGCCUGAUGCAGCAACGCCGCGUGCGGGAUGACGGCCUUCGGGUUGUAAACCGCUUUCGCCUGCGACGAAGCGUGAGUGACGGUAAUGGGUAAAGAAGCACCGGCUAACUACGUG